rnacentral:rRNA from 1 species
UACGUAGGGAGCGAGCGUUAUCCGGAAUUAUUGGGCGUAAAGGGUGCGUAGGCGGUCAUUUAAGUCUUUGGUGUAAGUGCAGUGCUCAACGCUGUGAUGCUAAAGAAACUGAAUUACUUGAGUGUGGUAGAGGCAAGUGGAAUUCCAUGUGUAGCGGUAAAAUGCGUAAAUAUAUGGAGGAACACCAGUGGCGAAGGCGGCUUGCUGGGCCACAACUGACGCUCAAGCACGAAGGCGUGGGGAUCAAACA